UUCUCCAAAAACAUUUUUUCAAUUGCACAGUUCACUGUAUCUUUUCAAUUGCAUCUCGGUAAAAAGUCUGCUAGGGUUCCACUGUCUUUCUCCUAGCGCAGCCCCUACUUGCGGUCGCCAGUGGACUCACUUCGACAUCAACCUUCUACUCUCUGAGGCUCACUCCUUGCACCGUCGCCGUCGCCGUCUCCGUCUCCGUCUCCGUCUACCGCAACCGUCGCCGACAGGUCUAUCUCUCUCUCUCCCCUCCCCUAUGUCCGACCAUCUCAACCCCCCUCGCCGCGAGCCCCUCCAUUCACGGCCAUCUCAACCCUCGCCUCUCAUCCUCAUUCUGAAGAACCCUCGCCUCUCAUCCUCAUUCUGAAGAAAGAAGCGAUCAAAUUAGCUUUUUAAUUCACUUUUUUUUCCAUUGUGCGGCUCACCAUAUCUUUUCCCUAAAUCAAAGCAGUAUGUAGGCAUGGAUUUCUUCUCAGAGAUGGAGACGGCUAGGGUGCAGAUGAAGAUAACUCCAUUAAAGCCAAGCCAACAUCCUCUAGGGAAGUGGAUUUUCCCAAAGAUGAACGACCUCAUGACCAAGUCAUUCACCAACUACGUGGCUCUCGCUGGUUUCCUCGACUUCUAGAUUCGUCUAACAUCAUGAUGGUUUACUUCAAUGAAUUAACCUUCAUAUUGGUCCCGUGGAGAUUUAGCAAAGCUCUAAAGGAUAAAUUAGUCUUCAUAUUGGUCCCUUAUUUUGUUUACCUUCUGCAGACUUGGCAUCUCUUUUGGUUGAUGUAUAUGCUGAUAAUAGUUUAAACAGGCGGAAGAAUGUUUGAGAAAAGGAAGGAGAGUAUAUGCUGAACUUUUGGUUGAUGUAUAUGCCGAUAAUAGUCCCUCAAAUGGUUGAUUUAUAUGCUGAUAAUAGUUUAAACAGGCGCUGCAAAAGUUUAAACACUGCUUUGAUUUCUUCAUGUAAUUAUUUUCUCAGCAAGUUGAACUGCUCUUCGAUAAUUAGAAAGUCGUGAUGGUGAAAAUAGAACUCUUUGAGAAUCUUACCACAACCUUCCCUAAAUGAGAUGACAGCUCAUUGCAUCUGGUAUUUUUUCUUCAAUUUUGUUGAUAUAAACAUCUUGAUUUUGUUUGAUUUUUAACUCUCUUUAAAUUAAUCUCCUCCCUUUUGGUCAUUGCUAUUUGUUGAAUCUUUGAUAGGGUUUCAAUUUUGUGAAAAUGUUAGCUUUCAAGUAGGAUAAUUUGUUUAUCUAUUUAUUUGGUUUAUUAGUUUUGAGGCCAGUUAUCAUUUUGAACAAAUAUGUUUUCUUUUUUAAUUUUAAUUGGGAGUACUAUGAUUCUAUUGAUACAUAUUUGACCUUCCAUCUGGCUUUCUGAUUUUAGGAAUCUCUCAUCUAAGAUUUUUCAUUUUCUAACACUCCACUCAAUGGACCUUCUUUUGAGGAAGCUGAUUUCAAUGUGGAAUUCGCUCAGCGAGGGGCUGUCUAUGUUGAUGAAGUUGAUAAGAUUAUUUCUAUUACUUUAGAUACUAAUAGAAUGAAAUAUUUAUGAGCGAAUUCCACAUUGAAAUCAGCUUCCUCAAAAGAAGGUCCAUUGAGUGGAGUGUUAGAAAAUGAAAAAUCUUAGAUGAGAGAUUCCUAAAAUCAGAAAGCCAGAUGGAAGGUCAAAUAUGUAUCAAUAGAAUCAUAGUACUCCCAAUUAAAAUUAAAAAAGAAAACAUAUUUGUUCAAAAUGAUAACUGACCUCAAAACUAAUAAACCAAAUAAAUAGAUAAACAAAUUAUCCUACUUGAAAGCUAACAUUUUCACAAAAUUGAAACCCUAUCAAAGAUUCAACAAAUAGCAAUGACCAAAAGGGAGGAGAUUAAUAUAAAGAGAGUUAAAAAUCAAACAAAAUCAAGAUGUUUAUAUCAACAAAAUUGAAGAAAAAAUACCAGAUGCAAUGAGCUGUCAUCUCAUUUAGGUAAGGUUGUGGUAAGAUUCUCAAUGAGUUCUAUUUUCACCAUCACGACUUUCUAAUUAUCGAAGAGCAGUUCAACUUGCUGAGAAAAUAAUUACAUGAAGAAAUCAAAGAAUGAAAUAUUUCAUUCUUUGAUUCCGUGUUUUUUGUGAUAGUAUAAAAUGUUUUUUUGGCUGCUAACUUUUGCGCUGCAAAAGUUUAAACACUGCUUUGAUUUCUUCAAGAAAUUAUUUUCUCAGCAAGCUGAACUGCUCUUCGAUAAUUAUAAAGUCGUGAUGGUGAAAAUAGCCUGUAGCAUGUGCUUACAUUCUUUUAGGAUUAUCUAUGAAUUCCCUAUUGUUGACAAGAUUGCAGCGGGUGCUUUUGUGGUGAUUGAGCAAUAAAAAAAAUGAAGGGAAUGUGCAGUGUGUCGAGGAUCUCAACUACCACCACAAGUAGCUCAUUUUACUGCGGAGGACCUGAGAUGCAGAAUUUCCUCUUACCAAACGAUCUGCCACACCGGGUUUUGCAGACACCUAUAAAGAUUGAAAAAUUUGAUGGUCGUAUAUCAGAACUUGAGACCAUAUACACAGCACUCCUUAAAGCAAAUAUGGAGGGUAAAGCAAGGCACAAAGUUGAGAAAAAAGAUAGCAUCCAUGUGCAUCCAUGCUGCAAGUCGAAUUCCAUUUUCACGGCAGUAACUAAGAAUAGGUAAAUAUGAGUAUUGCUAUACUUCCUAUGUCAGCAGAGUACAACUGGAGCCCCAGCACUUUCGGUUUAAUACAGUCUUCAUUCUUUUGGGGAUACCUCCUCACUCAGGUUUUGAUGAGCUUCAGGUUCUCAACUACCACCACAAAAGCAUCCUUUGUUCUGAGUUGAACUUGGUACCCGAGUUUAUAACUAAGUAAUAGUUUCUAUAUUGAAUCUACUUGAAGAAUAAGUAUUUGGAGAAGUUUCUCCUCAAAGGAAGCAACCCAUGUUUCAUCAUAAUAGCUCAAACUUUACUUAUCUUCCAUUCUAAAAUCAAGCAAAGAAGCAAGAACAAGGAGAAGGAAUGUUACUGCCAGUAAAAAGUUAUCUACUAAUGUCAAUAAUGAAAACUGCAUAGAUCUUGGCCCUUAGCAUGACUUGGUUUAAAGGCAUUGUCAUGCAUGAACCCCUUCAAAAUCAGAGUACAUUUGUGUUAGGAAACAAAGUGGCGGCUAUUUAGAAGUAGCUGCUUCUGAUGGUAUUUUUGGCGCUUGGACGUAUAACCAUUGCUUCAGUCACAAGUUUGCUGGAAAAAGAAUGAUUUAUUAGAAUGAGUCCUGGAAAUUGCCUUUGUUGAUCUUUUGUAAUGUUUGCUACUUUACAUCGUGAAGCAUUUACCACUUAGUAUGUUUUUUCUUAGCAGUUAGUAUUAUGUCAAGAUGUGGCUAUCAAAAAUCAUUAGCCUUAGCAUUUUGAGAAUGUCUGGCCGCACCACUACUGGAGUUGAUGCACGAGAAUAAUUACAUGAUCUACAAGUAUUUACCUUGAUUGGCUUUUGGGAGGUUUAAGGUAUUGGAGAGAUAGCUUGGCCUGGACCUGUGAUGUGACUGAAUUCCUGAAAUACUUGAUAAGACAGUGAUGCUUUCUUUUGUAAAGUGCAUGGUCUACUGUUGUAUAUGCUUUUAAGUGUUUUACUGUCCAAUUUUGAAGUGGUUUGGGGAUUCUAGAGCUUCAUGCUAAGUUAUGUAUUUGUUCAGGUAGUACUCUCCACCUAAGUUGUGAGAAUGUUAUUCUCAUGUCCCAUUUUAGUGGUAUAAGUUGUGUUUUAUUAAAA